GACGGACGCUGGCGGCGUGCUUAACACAUGCAAGUCGAACGGAAAGGCUCCAGCUUGCUGGAGUACUCGAGUGGCGAACGGGUGAGUAACACGUGGGUAAUCUGCCCUGCACUCUGGGAUAAGCCUGGGAAACUGGGUCUAAUACUGGAUAUGACCUUUCUCCUUAUGGGGUUUGGUGGAAAGUUUUUCGGUGUAGGAUGAGCCCGCGGCCUAUCAGCUUGUUGGUGGGGUGAUGGCCUACCAAGGCGACGACGGGUAGCCGGCCUGAGAGGGUGAUCGGCCACAUUGGGACUGAGAUACGGCCCAGACUCCUACGGGAGGCAGCAGUGGGGAAUAUUGCACAAUGGGCGGAAGCCUGAUGCAGCGACGCCGCGUGAGGGAUGACGGCCUUCGGGUUGUAAACCUCUUUCAGCAGGGACGAAGCGUAAGUGACGGUACCUGCAGAAGAAGCACCGGCUAACUAUGUG
rnacentral:rRNA from 1 species